rnacentral:piRNA from 1 species
GCUCAAAGCAGGGAGUAAGGUGUGAUUGCA